rnacentral:rRNA from 1 species
CAGUAGCCACGGGAAUACGAAGGGGGCUAGCGUUGUUCGGAAUUACUGGGCGUAAAGCGCACGUAGGCGGAUCGAUCAGUCAGGGGUGAAAUCCCAGGGCUCAACCCUGGAACUGCCUUUGAUACUGUCGAUCUGGAGUAUGGAAGAGGUGAGUGGAAUUCCGAGUGUAGAGGUGAAAUUCGUAGAUAUUCGGAGGAACACCAGUGGCGAAGGCGGCUCACUGGUCCAUUACUGACGCUGAGGUGCGAAAGCGUGGGGAGCAAACAGGAUUAGAUACCCCGGUAGUCCCUGUCUCUUAUAC